rnacentral:lncRNA from 1 species
CUGAAACAGAAACAUUUAGAAGGUGUCCAAAGAAGUCUGUGGGUCCAGAGAAGAUGGGAGCUUGUGUGCAUCAUAUCAUGGCUCAGCCCAAAUCCUUCAUUCAUCCCUGGAUUGUGAGGAGCUGUGUGAUAGAGCAAGCCAUGCUCCAUCAGAGGAUGGGGAUAAGCACCCUGCUCCUCCUGCCAGCCAGAGCCUGUGUGAACUAUCCCAGAGCUGCCUCAAACACAAACCCUCCAGGAUGUCCCAUCUCCUGUCCCCUCCCAGCUCCUGCUUCAGUCUCUGCCAUGGGUCCACCCUCACCACAAGGGUUUGUACACAUGAAGAGCCAGAGAAGCAUCCCAGUUAUCCAACUAGCUCCGGUUUUGGUCCCUUUUGCCCCUGAGGGCAUCUCAUCUCGCACUCAUUCACCUCCUCCUGUGUACUGCCUUGCCACUCGCUGA